rnacentral:rRNA from 1 species
UACGUAGGGUGCAAGCGUUAAUCGGAAUUACUGGGCGUAAAGCGUGCGCAGGCGGUUAUGUAAGACAGAUGUGAAAUGCCCGGGCUUAACCUGGGAACUGCAUUUGUGACUGCAUGGCUAGAGUUUGGCAGAGGGGGGGUAGAAUUCCACGUGUAGCAGUGAAAUGCGUAGAGAUCAUGAGGAAGACCAGUGGCGAAGGCGGGUCUCUGGACAGUUCCUGACACUGAGGCACGGAAGGCCAGGGGGAGCAAAACGGG